GUCUUUAUAGUUUAACAAAAAACACUAGUCUUGUAAACUAGAGUUGUCCUUUCUAAAGACU
rnacentral:tRNA from 1 species